GACACGGACCAGACUCCUACGGGAGGCAGCAGUGAGGAAUAUUGCGCAAUGGAGGCAACUCUGACGCAGCCAUGCCGCGUGCAGGAGGAAGGCGCUACGCGUUGUAAACUGCUUUUAUCCGGGAAGAAACCCUCCGACGUGUCGGAGGUUGACGGUACCGGAGGAAUAAGCACCGGCUAACUUCGUGCCAGCAGCCGCGGUAAUACGAAGGGUGCAAGCGUUAUCCGGAUUCAUUGGGUUUAAAGGGUGCGUAGGCGGAGUGUUAAGUCAGUGGUGAAAUCCUGCGGCUCAACUGUAGACUUGCCAUUGAUACUGACGCUCUUGAGUGCGCUUGAAGUGGGCGGAAUGUGCCGUGUAGCGGUGAAAUGCUUAGAUAUGGCACAGAACACCAAUUGCGAAGGCAGCUCACUAAGGCGAUACUGACGCUGAGGCACGAAAGCGUGGGGAUCGAACAGGAUUAGAUACCCUGGUAGUCCACGCCGUAAACGAUGAUCACUCGUGAUUGGCGAUACACAGUCAGUCACCUAGCGAAAGCGUUAAGUGAUCCACCUGGGGAGUACGAUCGCAAGAUUGAAACUCAAAGGAAUUGACGGGGGCCCGCACAAGCGGUGGAGCAUGUGGUCUAAUUCGAUGAUACGCGAGGAACCUUACCAGGGCUCGAACGCACGACGACAGGGGUGGAAACAUCCUCUUCUUCGGACGGCGUGCGAGGUGCUGCAUGGCUGUCGUCAGCUCGUGCCGUGAGGUGUCGGGUUAAGUCCCAUAACGAGCGCAACCCCUAUCUUUAGUUGCCAGCGGGUAAUGCCGGGGACUCUAGAGAAACUGCCCGCGUAAGCGGUGAGGAAGGUGGGGACGACGUCAAGUCAUCACGGCCCUUACGUCCUGGGCUACACACGUGCUACAAUGGCGAGUACAGAGGGAAGCUACCGGGCGGCCGGAUGCGGAUCCUCAAAACUCGUCUCAGUUCGGAUCGGAGUCUGCAACCCGACUCCGUGAAGCUGGAAUCGCUAGUAAUCGCAUAUCAGCCAUGAUGCGGUGAAUACGUUCCCGGGUCUUGUACACACCGCCCGUCAAGCCAUGGAAGCCGGGGGUGCCUGAAGUCGGUGACCGCAAGGAGCUGCCUAGGGCAAAACCGGUGACUGGGGCUAAGUCGUAACAAGGUAGCCGUACCGGAAGGUGCGGCUG
rnacentral:rRNA from 1 species